UAUAAUUAUGCGGCUGGGCGUGGCCAGGAGCCAAUUAUGAUGGGGUCGUGGAUAAAAGAGCGGCCCCUCCUACGCCUCCUCCCUCUGUCUCCCGCUGGCGUAAUUUCCGGGACGUCCUGUGUGGCUGCAACAGGUAACUCCGGGGGCCGCGUACGUUUUUGCCAGUUUUGUAUUUGCGGGAGCCUUAACUAUUUCUUGUGCUGUGACAAAGGGGCUGUGGGUGGAUUCUGGCUCCAUGUGGUCUCCUUGUCUGGGGCUGACGGCCUGUAGUGGUGUGGGUGAUCGUAGGAGAUCCUCCUGUCUGCUGUGCCGUUUCCAGGGAUGUGGGUCGUUCACGGGUGUGCUCUUUUCACGUGUGUCUGGGGGAACUUUUACUUUGGGGACCCCUCCUUUCGCUUGCCCUAGCUACUUUUAGGCCGAAGCCCUUGAUUAACUUUUGUUUUUUGCAUUUUCUUUUGUUUGGAUCCUUUGUAUUAAUAAAAUAUUAUUGUGACUAA